UACGUAGGGGGCAAGCGUUGUCCGGAUUUAUUGGGCGUAAAGAGCGUGUAGGCGGCCUGGAAGGUCAGCUGUGAAAACUCGAGGCUCAACCUCGAGACGUCGGUUGAAACCACCUGGCUAGAGUCCGGAAGAGGAGAGUGGAAUUCCCGGUGUAGCGGUGAAAUGCGCAGAUAUCGGGAAGAACACCCGUGGCGAAGGCGGGCACCUGGGCUAACACUGACGCUGAUGCGCGAAAGCUAGGGGAGCAAACAGG
rnacentral:rRNA from 1 species